UUCCAACAUGGCGGACAUGGAGAUCGCUCUAACAACCGACAGUUCGGGGGAGUCGUUCUGCGUCUCUGUGUGGAGUAUAUCGUCCGGAAUGCAGAUUAAAACGUACAAAACAGGUAGCUGCUUGGCUCACGGGCUGAGUUUGUUGGGAAGUCAGUACGUACUCGGGGCGCAGAUGGGUAAACCGAUCUUGCACGUGUGGAACGUGGCAAAGGAACAGCUCCACAUGAAGAUGAUCUGCCCUGGCCGCAUUUCAGCUGUAACUUGUUCCCCAGAUGGUAACUACUGUGUUGCUGCCUGUGGAGAGAAAAUAUAUGUCUGGCAGGUUGGAACAGGCAGGCUUCAUGCAGUGAUUGCGCGUCAUUACCAGAGGGUGACAUGUCUGGUUUUUACAGAUGAUGGUACCCAUCUUAUCUCAGGCGGAGAUGAUAAUAUGGUGAUUAUCUGGAGCAUGGCAGAAUUACUGUGUCAAUCAUCACCAAGUUUAUCAUCUGAGCAGUCCCUAAUCCCUACCUAUACCUGGUCUGACCAUGCCCUUCCUGUGACAGACAUACACUGCAGCAGUGGGGGCUCAAGAGCUAGGGUGUUCACCUCUUCAUUAGAUCAGACAUGCAAGCUCUACAGCCUUGCUUCUGGGGAUCUGCUCUGCUCAUUUGUAUUUGACUGCAGUAUUACAGCAAUAGUGACAGACCCUGCUGAGUACAACCUCUUUGCUGGAGCAUCGAAUGGCAGGAUAUACCAGAUAAUGUUGUACAAUCCUGGAUUCAAGCAGGAAAAUCAUAUCACCAAUGAGGGUGCUCUUAACUUUACUGGACACAGCAAACAGGUCACUAGUUUAGCUGUCACAAUGGAUGGAACAGUACUUCUCUCUGGUUCUAAUGACAACACAGCACGGGUGUGGCACAUACAAAGCAGGCAAUCCAUAAGAACUUUAACACAUAAAGGUGCAGUCACAAAUGUACAGAUAAUUCGUCGACCAGUCAAUUUUACAGAUCCACUUAGUCGAAAUCUUUGGCCGCCCCUACAGCCCUUCAAAAGACAUAUGGAGUCCCGGUCGAGCAAAUCAAAUGAUAGCGUACAAGACACAGGAGUUGCCGUAAAUCUUAGUAACAAAAUACCAAAGGAAACCCUAGAUUUAAAGACAAGAGUAAGAACGAUAAUGGUUGACAAUGAUCAAAAGACUAAGGCUACUGCAGUCAGCAAGCGAAGCCACGAAGACCUCAUCGAGGAUGUUCAACAACUGAAGAGGAUUAACCAGAACUUUUAUCAAUUCGCUGUAGAGGAAUUAAUGGCUGAAGUUCACAAGUCUCUAGAAGGCACAUGACCCGGAGAGCUGCCUUUGGCUAAUUGCCAUGAGAGUCGCUGAUUAUCAUGCAAGCCUGGGUGACAAGGGCUCGUCUCGGAAUGGUGAAGCUCUUCCGCCGUCAUUCAUUGCGGGUGCUUUUCGGGUUUCUUUGGCGUUUGUUCGUGGCGCUUUCGAUUUUCGACGAUGCAAGAACCUCUAGAACAUGAUCUCUUGUAUCUUUGUGCAAUGACUUUAUGAGUUGAUAGCUACGCAUUGGGAGCAGUCUUGGACUGAUGUCCUAGUCUUUGAUAGACGUGAGAGCAGUAUUUCUUUUCGAUGUACAUGUGGACAACACGCUCGAGUCGUAAACAACAGCGUUAUUUUCAAUACUUGUUGUAAGAGCGUUGCUAUAGUAACAACCCCACAACAGGCUUUCGGUCAAGUGUGAGCGGCCAAACAGCGCGUAUAAUGGCGGCGAGCAACCAGUGGCCGGGGACGAUGCAUAGAGAUCUUGACAGAGCUUGUCACGCUUAGUACGCGUCACCACACCUAGAGGCGAACAUAAGCAGGGUCAACAGCUAUGAUAAUCACAUGUGAUAACACCUAUGUGCGAUGGUAUACAGUAUCAAUUAUAGAGAAAGGGGUGUAGCUAUGAUAGCAAAGAUAUACAGUAUCAAUUAUAGAGAAAGGGGUGUAGCUAUGAUAGCAAAGAUAUACAGUAUCAAUUAUAGAGAAAGGGGUGUAGCUAUGAUAGCAAAGAUAUACAGUAUCAAUUAUAGAGAAAGGGGUGUAGCUAUGAUAGCAAAGAUAUACAGUAUCAAUUAUAGAGAAAGGGGGGUAGCUAUGAUAGCAAAGAUAUACAGUAUCAAUUAUAGAGAAAGGGGUGUAGCUAUGAUAGCAAAGAUAUACUUACAGUAUCAAUUAUCCUACGGGCAAAGGUAUGCAGUACCAAUAAUAGAAAAAGGGGUGUAGCUAUGAUAGCAAAGAUAUACAGUAUCAAUUAUAGAGAAAGGGGAGUAGCUAUGAUAGCAAAGAUAUACUUACAGUAUCAAUUAUAGAGAAAGGGGUGUAGCUAUGAUAGCAAAGAUAUACUUACAGUAUCAAUUAUAGAGAAAGGGGAGUAGCUAUGAUAGCAAAGAUAUACAGUAUCAAUUAUAGAGAAAGGGGUGUAGCUAUGAUAGCAAAGAUAUACAGUAUCAAUUAUAGAGAAAGGGGAGUAGCUAUGAUAGCAAAGAUAUACUUACAGUAUCAAUUAUCGUACAGGCAAAGAUAUUCAGUACCAAUAAUAAAAAAGGGGGGUAGCUAUGAUAGCAAAGAUAUGCAGUAUCAAUAAUAGAGAAAGGGGAGCAGCUAUGAUAGCAUGUACAGACAAAGAUAUACCGUGUCAAUAACGAACUAAAUACCGUAUAUCGGGUGAUACAUACAUGGUAUAUAGCUUCUAUGAUCACAAAUCCCCGUACUGUAUGACGGACUAAAUACCGUAUAUAUGGUGAUACAUACAUGGUAUAUAGCUUCUAUUUAAGUAAAUCCCGGUACUGUAUGACCGGACUAAAUAUUGGGUACAACUAACCGGGUAUAUAGCACUCUGAGUACUCCUGAAUGCCAACGUUGCCGUACGAAGAGCUGCGCAAAUUCCUCCAGCUGAUUGUGUUUCCGGACCACGUUCCGCACCCAUAGCCCAUACUUUGAAUGAUAUCAUCAGGAAGUGCAACGUCCCACAUGUCGAAGUUGGACAGAGUGCCAAUAAAUACUUGAGUAACAUCGAACCCUCCCCCUGAAAUAAAGGCAUUGUCAGAUAGUAAGUGGCUUGCCUUUUGCAGGGAGAGAGAGAGAUCUGAAUAACAAUGUCGUGCCUGAAUAAUACUCUGAAAGAUGCGCACUGAAACAUUUUUGUACCUCGUUGGUUUAUUUGGCGCCCUGGGAGCUUCUUUAAUAUAGCUUAUUUGAGGGUGGGGGGCAAGCAUUCACGGUACUUCACGAAACUGUGACGGUGGCCACACUAGCGUGGAUGACAAAUUCUUUCUCCAAUGUUUGAUAUGUCAGUAUUCUGCUCACCUACGCUGUCUUGAUCUUGGCCCAGGACUAAUGAGCCACCUCCACCUAUCUUGACCCCAGACUUCAUCCCAGUGGCGCUGAGCUUUAGUAUGCCAUUGACGAAGCUUUUGUAAACACCAUUGACCGAAUUCCAAAGGAAACAACCACUGUUCCAAUUUCCAUCGCGAAGAUUUUCGGCUGCAUGAUAUCUGGAAUUCCAAAGACAUUUGGAUGAGAAACCUGCGUAGAGACACAGGUGUUGGAUGGAAUUUAAACCGAUGAAAA